GGGUGGUGGUCAUCCCGCAGCACGAAAGCGGUGUGUAAGGAUGGUUAAAUUUAGGUUGCCGUUUCCUUGCUUUUGCGAGGUAUGACAUGAACGUUCUUGUUCAAGGGAAUGCCUGAGUGUUUCGAGUUCCGCGAUCGCUCGCCGGGAGCGCGCCACAGUCGCGUCUUUGUCUGCCGCUAGAUCUACCCGCUCUGCUCCUUGCUCCUUCCUGCUCCCCCUCCUCCUUUCCCUCGUCUCCCUUCCCGCGCCCCUUCCCCCUUGCCCGCACCGGGGACCCUUACAGGCUUGCUUGGCCCAGUUAGUUAGGCUGAGCGUACACGUCAAGCCUUAGUAUUCUAAUUUGCUGCUUAAUUUUUACAACUUUGGAUUGGAUGCAAAAAACACAUCAUCAUGCCUUGCAGCGAAAUUUUAUGUGGAUUAGAUGAGUGCUCUGGCAACGGUCAACAGAUAACCUCAUCACUAUAGUGGUUAUCUGAAACUGACAUUACCCCAAUUCGUGACUGCCUUCCAGAGUCAAUUAAGUACCCUAUUGAAUGUAUGGUGGCAUCUAGUUACAAUACAUCAAAGAUAUUUAAGCGGCUACUUUAUGUAUGGGACUUUGGAUGGUCUAAGUCUGUCCAGUGAGUGAGGUACUUGUCGAAGACAGAGUUAUUCUCAAUGAACUGUGUGCAGUACCACUUCUGAUUGAAGUUUAUUUACCUGAAAGCAAGCAAAUGGAAACGUUGAAGCCCUACAAUCCCGAUCAUCAUCAAUCACAUCAAUAUUUAUUUGACCAUUUACUAGUUACAUUCAGUGUGAAAGUGAAGCUAGCUCUCACUCUUUACUGGUAACAUUAUCAGUAUUGUAGCUUUGUGAAACCUAAAAUUUGUGGCUACCUUCCAGGGCCCUGCAAGUUCCCUAUUGAAUGUAUGCUGAAAUCCAGUGAGAUUACAUAAAACCAAUCCAAGCUACUUUAUGUCGGAUGGUUUCUCUCCAAAUCUUACCAUAGUGAGUGAGGUACUUGUCAAAAACAGAGUGAUUCCAUAUGAACUGUGUCCCAUCUCACUUUUGAUCAAAGUAUAUUUAACUAUAAGCAAGCGAAUCAAAACGUUAAGGAAUCCCGAUCAUCACCAAUCAUAAUAAUGUAGGAAAGCUGGAUGACAAAUUUUUAAAACUAUAAGGACUGCUCCAACUGAGACGAUUAAUGAUGGUAAGAUAGAUUCAAUGUAUUAAUUGUCGCUCUCAAUGAAGCUAUAAACCCAUCAGAGAUGUACAUUCACAAUGCAAUCAUAUCUCAUGAUGUAGCUCAGAUGUCUGAUGUCGAGUGAGAAUAAGAAGUCUUGGCCAUGAAGUGAAAUGUAGAACGAUGAAAAUCAGAAUAAGAGUCAUCAAAUCUAUUAUAUCACAGGACUCUGGUUCAUUUGAUAUUUUGUGCCAAACAGCCCAACUACGUGAACAGGAAAUUCAUUUGACAUUCUACUGGGUAUCCUUAGUAUAGUACAUUAUCCCUAGUCUCAUCCAUCAAAACUGACAACAACAAGAAUAAACGUAAUAGUUAUCUUACCAACUAUUUAUGUACCCAUCAACGACUUGGAACCAGAUGCUGCUAUUGUCCAUGGAAUUUACAGAGCAAAAUUUUUACUAUGUUCGGUGAGUUUCUGUGUUACUGUGCUCCAUGCGAAAUGUGUUGGUGAUAGACUGUACCAAGGAUUUCAAUAACAAUUAUAGUUACUCAGUCUUCUGACUGUGUUAUAGAAAUGUGCCUUAAUGAUCCCUACACUGCAUGUUUGUUUUGUUCAGUACCUUAUGGAUCUCUGCUUUGCAUUUUACCAUAUUUGAUUGUUCUGAAAUCACACAACUUAUCGUAUUUCUACUCUUUUGCACUCAGUUUUUCAAAAACAUAUUUGGCUCAUUGCUUUCUUACUGUUUUUGUUAUAGAUUGAGAGCU